GACGAACGCUGGCGGCGUGCUUAACACAUGCAAGUCGAACGGAAAGGCCCUGCUUUUGUGGGGUGCUCGAGUGGCGAACGGGUGAGUAACACGUGAGUAACCUGCCCUUGACUUUGGGAUAACUUCAGGAAACUGGGGCUAAUACCGGAUAGGAGCUCCUGCUGCAUGGUGGGCGUUGGAAAGUUUCGGCGGUUGGGGAUGGACUCGCGGCUUAUCAGCUUGUUGGUGGGGUAGUGGCUUACCAAGGCUUUGACGGGUAGCCGGCCUGAGAGGGUGACCGGCCACAUUGGGACUGAGAUACGGCCCAGACUCCUACGGGAGGCAGCAGUGGGGAAUAUUGCACAAUGGGCGGAAGCCUGAUGCAGCAGCGCCGCGUGCGGGAUGACGGCCUUCGGGUUGUAAACCGAUUUCGCCUGUGACGAAGCGUGAGUGACGGUAAUGGGUAAAGAAGCACCGGCUAACUACGUG
rnacentral:rRNA from 1 species